CAAAUAUCAUUUCUCAUUUAAUUAGCACCACAAUGCGCCUGACUCCUGAGCCAUCACUUCUGCUGCUCGGUUUUUGUGUUUUUGCUCAUCAUGUGUGUCAACAGGUGUGACCUCUGGCAUUCAUUAUAUCUUAUUAUUAUUUUUGCAAUGUGGAGGUAGGAAAUAAUUUGUCGAGUUCAAGGACAGCCUGAGAUGUCAGUACUCUUCAACUUCCAUGCGUUUUUAACAGUAGUGCUGCUGGGAAUCUGCGCGAAGAUGCAUUUUCCAGCGAUCCUUGAACAGAGAACGGGGUGAGCGCUUGAGCCCAUGGGUGGCUGUUGGAUGCUUUACCAUGGGUGUGUCAAUCAUCUUCUUCUGAGUUACAUCUUGUUUUAUUCAAAUGUAAGCUUCAUCUGUGUUUUCUUUUACUUUUUUUAUACGGAAAAUCUAUCUAAAUUUGAUAUCAAAGGAAUCAAAGGAUUUGUGUGGUGAGAAUACUGUUUCACCUAGUUGACAUUUUUUUCCAUCA